GGCGCUCGGGGCCGGGGCGCUCCUGCCUCUCGCCCCUGCAGGGCGGGGGUCGGCGGGUCCGGGGCACGCGCUUCAGCGGCACAGGAUGCGGUCGUCCGCGGGGACACACGCCGCCUGUGAAACAAACGGAGAGAGAAGAGCUCCAUUUUACAGACGAGAGAAACUGAGGCCUGGGUGGAGAAGCGGCCGGCUCUGGGUCGCCCAGAGAGCCUGGGCUUCUGGAUCCCAUUGGAAGACGACCUCUGGGACCCUGAUCUCCCGAAUACUGGGUCCGAAAUGAAAGCGGGUCCUCCUUCUAACACUCUGAA